AAAAUGACUUUACGUUAGGGCAGUCAAAAUUAACGCGAUAACAAUGCACUAACACAAAUUUGUUUUAACGCCACUAAUUUCUUUGACGCAAUUGAUCUUUCGGAGGUUGUAGCGGGCUCAGUUUUAAAGCUAGAGUGAAGAUACUGGUAUCAUAUGAAACUAUAAAAACCUAA